rnacentral:rRNA from 1 species
UACAGAGGUCUCAAGCGUUGUUCGGAUUCAUUGGGCGUAAAGAGCGUGUAGGCGGUUUGGUAGGUCCGCUGUGAAAACUCGAGCUCAACCUCGAGACGCCGGUGGAAACCAUCAGACUAGAGUCCGGAAGAGGAGAGUGGAAUUCCUGGUGUAGCGGUGAAAUGCGCAGAUAUCAGGAAGAACACCCGUGGCUAAGGCGGCUCUCUAGUACGGUACUGACGCUGAGACGCGAAAGCGUGGGGAGCGAACAGG